AAACGCAUUUUUGGUGGGAGUUAACUAUAACCGUCUCCUCAACUUUUCGUUUUAUUUUGAGACCGAAAAUCUGCCUUAUAGGCCUAUAUUGCUUUAGUUAUUUCUUGUUUCAUUCGUACUCUUAAACAGAAGUACCUACCUAAAUAUUUAUAUCUGUGUAAUUUCGGAAUUCAUUUUCGAAAAAAUGACGCGACAUGUUUGGUUUUUAUUCGUAGUAUUGAUUCCAUGUUCAAUCACUUCUAGCAUGCCGAGUAAGCGGGUGGUUAGUAUUGGACGUUGGGCAAAUAAUUCGAUCAUGAGAUUCACCGUUAAACAGGACUGUUCGUACACUUGUAUUGAUAAAAAUGAAGUUGAGUGGAAUGUAGACUCCACCGACCAAGCCCAAAAUUACGUAUGGGUGGUGUCACCAAAUGAAAAGAUACUCAGAAUAGAAAACAUCUCGAGAUACGAUACCGGCGUGUAUAAAUGUAUGUCCAAACAUGACCCUUACCGGUUCGUAAAGAUCGUUUUUCACAUUUUUGGUGACCGACCAGGUACUGAACUUCUUGGAUAUCAGUUUAAAACCUUCACAGGCCACAUAUCGCUGGAUCCAGCCCUGGAUUAUGUCGAGGACCGAGUGGGCGGUAGCUCAAGGUGGCAAAAUUUCAAGGCCGGCAAAUUCUUGAAUCUUUUUCGCUACUUUUUAAAUUUGAGACGUAAAUUUUAUGACGAUUAAUUAAAAAAAUUAUGGUUGUUACUUAACUGGAUAAAAAAAUACGUCUUAAAUUGCUAUACUGCGUAUCGAAAAUACCAUAAUAUGUAUUUAAAAAAAUGAAUUCGACGAUUCAAUCAAGAAAUUCUUUUAAGCUAAAUCCAGAAAACGGAUGUUUAAAAUAUAAAAAAAUA